rnacentral:rRNA from 1 species
UACGUAGGGUGCGAGCGUUGUCCGGAAUUAUUGGGCGUAAAGAGCUCGUAGGCGGUUUGUCGCGUCGGCCGUGAAAUCUCCACGCUUAACGUGGAGCGUGCGGUCGAUACGGGCAGACUUGAGUUCGGUAGGGGAGACUGGAAUUCCUGGUGUAGCGGUGAAAUGCGCAGAUAUCAGGAGGAACACCGGUGGCGAAGGCGGGUCUCUGGGCCGAUACUGACGCUGGAGGAGCGAAAGCCGUGGGGAGCGAACAGG